UUUUCCAUUUGAAAGUGAGGGAUCUUCCACCUGGAAUGGAUGAAAUCUUUGCAGCCCUGUAUAAAAAUGACAGCAUAUGGACAAUAUUUGAUUUCAUACAGUAUGUAACCUCAUCACAUCAUUCUUUAAGAGAAUCUUCUCUUGAAAGGUUUUCUUACAAUGGAUUGUUGUUGCCGUUGUUCAGCAGAGAGUUUCCAAUGUGUAUCUCGGCUCCAUCAAGUCUUUCAGGACAGCAGUCUUUUCUGUUGGUGAUAGUUAUGGAGGUCACUACGUACUGGUCUAGUAAAUCUAACCUCCACCAUGGGUCAUCUUGUGUAGGAGUAGCAGUACAGGAUCCAUGUUCAUAAUGUGAGUCACGAUUUCCAUCAAUAGCAUUACUGGCAUGACCAAAUGGCGCCCAAGGAUUUCCAACCAGGUCUGACUGUGUGGCCUUGCCAUAUAAAGCGAGAUUUUUGGCUAAAUUGAUAAAGCAUAGUCAAAAUGUGUAAUAAAAACAAGGAAAUGAAUAAAUCAAAAUAAUAAUAAUAAUAAAACAUUUGACCAUAUAAUAUUUCACUUUUGAUUUCAAUUAUUUCUCAGGAUUUAUUUAUUUAUUUAUAUUUUUGACAGUAAAUUUCUGUAUAGAUGUAUCUACCUACUCAGUCUAUAGCUAAAUAAAGCAAUCAUUUUACAUUUAUAACAGCUAAGGGGCGUUGUUAGGCACAACACGGAGUGGACCCCCUUAGAUGUUAGACUAUAAAUUCACUAUAAACCACGGCUUCACUGGUGUCACGUUUUGGUUUUGUGUUCAUGUUUAUGAUUUCAUGUCUUUUAUUUUGUAGUUUGAUUCAUGUUGCUUGUUUGUGUCAUGCUUCCCUUGCUCCUCAUGUUCUCCCUUAGUCUAUGUGUCAUGUUCUGAUUGGGUGUUUAUGGUCAUGUGGUUUUCAGUUCUGUUCUGUCAUUGGUUCCCUUGUUCCUUGUGUCUCUUGCUCAUUGGUUGUCAUAGUCAUGUGUUCUCCUAGUUCAUAUAUUUAAGCCAUUGUCUUCCCCAUGUUACUUUGUUGUGUAUUGUUAAUGUAACCCUGCUGUCGGUGAGUGUGAUAGUCAAGUCUGCUCAUCAUCAAGUCUGUUUAUGUUCAAUUCUAAUGGUUGCUUUGUUUGUUUGUUUGUUUGUUCACUUUGGAUAAUUCAAUAAACUGCACUUGGGUUCAUCAAGCUCGCCUUCAGUCUGGACUAAUCGUUACAGAAUACAUGACCAAGAAACAUGGGGAAGACAAUGGCUCAAAUAUAUGAACUAGGAGAACACAUGACUAUGACAACCAAUGAGCAAGAGACACAAGGAACAAGGGAACCAAUGACAGAACAGAACUGAAAACCACAUGACCAUAAACACCCAAUCAGAAUAUGACACAUAGACUAAGGGAGAACAUGAGGAGCAAGGGAAGCAUGACACAAACAAGCAACAUAAUCAAACUACAAAAUAAAAGACAUAAAAUCAUAAACCAAAACAUACGUGACAACGGGCUUCUUGCUUUUAUAAAACGGUUACCACACAAUACAAAUAUUAAAGCCAUAAAAUAUGUAUCAAUGCAACUUUCAUGAAAUAAAAACUUUAAAAGCCUUCCUUCCACUGGAAAAAUAGUCCCUGACCAUGAACAGCAACAGAAGUUACAUUAUUACGCCAUUAGAUGCCGGCAAAGAUUGUCUUUAUGAGCGAGUCACUCAGUCGCAAAGACUUUUAUAUUGAAACUUGUUGUGAACACGGAACCAAACGCAUAUGACAAGCUUUGACUAGCGCUGUCAGUGUCAGCAGGGCACGGGAAAACCCAUUAAACGGAUUUUUUAUUAUGAACUUAAGACUGACCUGAAGGAAAAAGCUAAAUCUGAAUGCAGGUAAUAAACUCGGCCACUUGACAUCUCUCUCACAAUACUCUUCUACAAAAUGCAGUAGGCUUCAAUGAACAAAAUCAAUUGAGAACGAACACGUUUACGUUUCUAAGAGCGGUUGCUAAGACAGACGCAGCAACAUACACACUCAGUGGCACAGCGAUACUUAUGUAAUGCGGUCAGCUGUAUAUUUUCAGGGAUUUUACAAUGGCUUCGUCCGCGGCUCAACCAAUCAGGAUCAAGGGCCGGAACUAUCCGUUUUUAAAAAAACAAUUGUACACUUCCACCUUCAUUGCCAAGGAGAAGACACAGUCCUUUUGUGACAAUAUGCUCCUAUAUUGGGUAUUUAAAAAAAAUAUGAAAUGCUAUCUGAAAACAUCUUUUACAUUAAAAGCAUUUUUUUUUUCAGCAAAAUGUAAACAAUUAUGAUUUCAUAAAACAACAAUAAACACUUCCUAAAAAAGUAAAAAAGGGAACAUGAAAAAAUAUCAAACCAUAGUUUUGUCCAGAAGACAUUUAAUGAAUUGUAUAAAAGUACAACAUAUAAAUCAUAGGUGACAACUCGCCUUGAUAAAAAUAUAUGACAUGUGCAGUGAUCAGUGUUUAUAAUGUCUGUUUAAUUGAAACCGUUUGUGUAAU